AGUGAACGCUGGCGGUAGGCCUAACACAUGCAAGUCGAACGGCAGCACAGUAAGAGCUUGCUCUUACGGGUGGCGAGUGGCGGACGGGUGAGGAAUACAUCGGAAUCUACUUUUUCGUGGGGGAUAACGUAGGGAAACUUACGCUAAUACCGCAUACGACCUACGGGUGAAAGCAUGGGAUCUUCGGACCUUGCGCGAUUGAAUGCGCCGAUGUCGGAUUAGCUAGUUGGCGGGGUAAAGGCCCACCAAGGCGACGAUCCGUAGCUGGUCUGAGAGGAUGAUCAGCCACACUGGAACUGAGACACGGUCCAGACUCCUACGGGAGGCAGCAGUGGGGAAUAUUGGACAAUGGGCGCAAGCCUGAUCCAGCCAUACCGCGUGGGUGAAGAAGGCCUUCGGGUUGUAAAGCCCUUUUGUUGGGAAAGAAAAGCAGCAGGUUAAUACCCCGCUGUUCUGACGGUACCCAAAGAAUAAGCACCGGCUAACUUCGUG
rnacentral:rRNA from 1 species